CAAUUCAUUCACGAAUAAAACAAUUUCCUUACAACAUUUUACAGGUGUCACCAGAACAAGUGGUUUUGGAGCAGAGCCGGUUAGUACCACUACCGUGGCUGUAAUCUUUGGUGGCAGGCAUCAUUUGGGACACAGAAAACAUUUUAAUGGAUUUCAUAGGCUGAUUAUCCAGAAGAAAUUUCGACGGUCUUCAACAAAUUUCACCAUUCAUGCCAAGUAUGGAUAUAAAAAAAUUCGGUGCUUUCUGAGAAUGAGAAGGGCGGGCUAAGCUGAGAGGAAUGGAUUGCUCAACAAGGAUUUACUCGAGCUUGCUGUGCGCUGCAGGAUUUUACCGCCAUUUUCCAGCUUCCAGCAGCAAAAUCUUAUUCAUUAUAACAAGACAAAUAAUAUAUUGCCAUCAGCUUGAGAAGAUUUCUGUCAUGUGCAACAUAUUGGAGAGAUGAUGAUUUUUUAAAUAAAGAGGAAGAGAAAGCUGGCAUGACAACAGGUGAUGUUGAUGGUGUGAUAGAUAAAGAGGAAGAGAACUGACAGAACAGCAGUGCAUCCAAGGAGAAGAGGAAGUCAAUUUUAAAAUAUUAUAUCUGAAGCAAUCAUGAGUAUGACAUUUGAGCACAGACCAUUGGGUGUGUCAACACGAUAUCAAAACGAUUGUGACUAUAGCCCCUUCCUGCUCAGUGAGUUUUCACCAGGUCUAAGAUCCAGUGUUUUUCCUACAAGAACAUUGGUUUAUCGGUUUGUUUGGCAUUGUCAUUCGGCAAAAUCGAUUUUUAUUCCAGGAUUAUUGUUCAGGUUGCUGUGGGAGUCGCAUUGGGGAUCGUCUCAUUUCUCUGUGAGUUGGCCAUUCUCUUUGUAGAGAUCAUUGGCUGUGAGGAAGCCCGUGUCUGCAGUGAAUCGACUGUUCAUUUUUUGCCGGAUCUCAGAAUAGCUUGUUUCGCUCUAGUUUUACAUCGAAUUGGAUUGUUUUGAGGGUUGGACGGAUCCUCAACUACGAAGAUCUUUAAGAAGUUCAAGAAUUUGCUACAAAAAGUGGGGAUUUGUGUUAUUUUCAAUGUUCUGGUCAUUCGAUCAGCUUUGAGAUCUCUGUUGGCGACAGACGUUUUUUUUCCUCCUUGCAUUGUGGUCUGUGAGGUACUUCAUAACAGGCUCGUAGCAUCAAGUUCUCCUUUGAUUGUGCAUUCAUAAUCAUUGGUCGGCUUUAUUGGAAGGGAGAUCAUUUUUUAUCAUUAUUGAGUGGUUUCAUUGUGAGUUUAAUGGACAUAUUUAUAAUUUGAUAGUUUGACAUUAGUGUAGUUUGAGUAGUAAUUUUUGUAUUUAAUGUAGGUAGUACACUCUCACCAAUACUCUAUGAUAUUUGACAUAGAUAUUGCAGAGUCUCAACAAUAUUUCAUAACAUUUGAGAUAGUUGAUGCAAUGUCAUAAUUUGUGAGAUGCAACUUGGGUGCAGUAGCCUUACAAUUGUAAAUGUGAAUCAAUAUUUUAUUUUUACAAUUAUAAUUUGA